GACGAACGCUGGCGGCGUGCCUAAUACAUGCAAGUUGAGCGCUGAAGGUUGGUACUUGUACCAACUGGAUGAGCAGCGAACGGGUGAGUAACGCGUGGGGAAUCUGCCUUUGAGCGGGGGACAACAUUUGGAAACGAAUGCUAAUACCGCAUAAAAACUUUAAACACAAGUUUUAAGUUUGAAAGAUGCAAUUGCAUCACUCAAAGAUGAUCCCGCGUUGUAUUAGCUAGUUGGUGAGGUAAAGGCUCACCAAGGCGAUGAUACAUAGCCGACCUGAGAGGGUGAACGGCCACAUUGGGACUGAGACACGGCCCAAACUCCUACGGGAGGCAGCAGUAGGGAAUCUUCGGCAAUGGACGAAAGUCUGACCGAGCAACGCCGCGGGAGUGAAGAAGGUUUUCGGAUCGUAAAACUCUGUUGGUAGAGAAGAACGUUGGUGAGAGUGGAAAGCUCAUCAAGUGGCGGUAACUACCCAGAAAGGGACGGCUAACUACGUG
rnacentral:rRNA from 1 species